rnacentral:rRNA from 1 species
GACGAACGCUGGCGGCAGGCUUAACACAUGCAAGUCGAGCGCCCCGCAAGGGGAGCGGCAGACGGGUGAGUAACGCGUGGGAAUCUACCCAUCUCUACGGAAUAACGCAUGGAAACGUGUGCUAAUACCGUAUACGUCCUUCGGGAGAAAGAUUUAUCGGAGAUGGAUGAGCCCGCGUUGGAUUAGCUAGUUGGUGGGGUAAAGGCCUACCAAGGCGACGAUCCAUAGCUGGUCUGAGAGGAUGAUCAGCCACACUGGGACUGAGACACGGCCCAGACUCCUACGGGAGGCAGCAGUGGGGAAUAUUGGACAAUGGGCGCAAGCCUGAUCCAGCCAUGCCGCGUGAGUGAUGAAGGCCCUAGGGUUGUAAAGCUCUUUCACCGGUGAAGAUAAUGACGGUAACCGGAGAGGAAGCCCCGGCUAACUUCGUGCCAGCCGCCGCUGUAAAAC